rnacentral:rRNA from 1 species
UUGACAUGUCUGGAACCUUGCUGAGAGGCGAGGGUGCUUCGGAGCCAGAACACAGGUGCUGCAUGGCUGUCGUCAGCUCGUGUCGUGAGAUGUUGGUUAAGUCCCGCAACGAGCGCAACCCUUAUCCCCAGUUGCCAUCAGGUAAAGCUGGGAACUCUGGGGAGACUGCCGGUGAUAAACCGGAGGAAGGCGGGGAUGACGUCAAGUCCUCAUGGCCCUUACAUCCCGGGCUACACACGUGCUACAAUGGCAGGUACAGAGGGCUGCGAAGCCGCGAGGUGGAGCGAAUCCCAGAAAACCUGUCUCAGUCCGGAUUGAAGUCUGCAACUCGACUUCAUGAAGGCGGAAUCGCUAGUAACCGCGAAUCAGCAGGUCGCGGUGAAUACGUUCCCGGGCCUU